rnacentral:ribozyme from 14 species
AUAAUAAUGUGAAUAAUAAGAGAAACAAAUAAUAUGAAUAAUUUUGGCUGUGUUGAAGCGAUAGAGUAACUGGAUUAUUUUUUAUUUUCUUUUAUUUCUCUUUCUUCUUAUUUUAUUUUCUUCUAUUUUAUCCAUUUUUCAUCUUCGGAUGGAA